rnacentral:lncRNA from 1 species
GAUUUUAUGCAAAUUUAUUUGUAAAUAUAAAGCACAUUUAGCAUGCAAAAAUACACAAAUGUCUUCUACAAAUCACCCAUCUCUUAGAGAAAUUAAUUCCUUACUUUUUUAAGAAUGAUGCCUUAACAUAUUAUCUACAUAGUUGCAACAUGAAUGGAAACUUGGUAGAAAAUCCAGUGAAAUUUGGGUACCCUGGGUUGCCAAAGAGAUCAGUUAUGUGACAAGGAAUUUUUUCCCUUCAGCUUCACUGACUUGAAGUUGCUCCAAGUCACCAGCCGGUGGAACUCUCCAUCAGUAGCUCCUGGCCUGGGAUGAAAUUCUGGCUCCACUGAAGUCACUGACAACCUCUUGUUUGGCUUUACAGGGGCCAUGAUGUUCAGCUGUGCUAAGUGAUGAACAGGAAAUGCAGUGACAUCACAAGUCCACCUCAUAGUGCUCACGUGCUCACAUCACACACACAACCCAAGCACCUGGUCCAAAAGUUGUGUUAUUCAAAUGUUCCAGAAUAAUAUUUCUGUGAAAACCCAGCUACUUGCAUCUAAUUCCUUUACACCCAAGCAUCAUAAAUCCAAGUGAUUUUUAUUGUCUUUUGGGAUUUCAGAAUGGUAUAGAAUGUAUUUUUUAAAGUGGGAUAGAAGUGAUGAGGGGUUUUCUGACUAUAAAGCUACUUUGUGCAAAUAACCUAACAGUAGCUUUUUUGAUUUCAAAGUGAUCAUAGAUUUUGCAUACAAAUAUGGCUUCAUAAAAUUUCUUUUAAAACUUUUGACAGUUUCUCUCUGCUCUAACCUCAGGCUUUUCCUUUUAGCCCCUUCUUGAGCUUGGGUGUUUGAACAUUGUCUCCUCUUACACAAGAUAUCUGUUUUAUAUUUUUGGGGAAAAAAAAUAAAAUCAGUGGUGGUUUUCUUGACUUUCCAAUAGAAUAAUCCGUAUGAGGUGACAGUUUGAUGAACAAUUUCAGUUUAACAUCACUUCUACUUGGUAGAAGCAGCAUCCAAACCAUCUCAGAAAUCUCCAUGCUUCCCAUCCUUCUGCCACACUGAAAUCUCCACUGGGUAGGUCCUAUUCCCAUGGCACUUGAUCAAAAAAAAAAAAGGUGGAGAAUUAUUUCCUAAGGGGGAAAAAAAAGAAAAAGAA